GUGGGGAAUAUUGGACAAUGGGGGGAACCCUGAUCCAGCCAUGCCGCGUGUGUGAAGAAGGCCUUUUGGUUGUAAAGCACUUUAAGCGAGGAGGAGGCUACCGAGAUUAAUACUCUUGGAUAGUGGACGUUACUCGCAGAAUAAGCACCGGCUAACUCUGUGCCAGCAGCCGCGGUAAUACAGGGGGUGCAAGCGUUAAUCGGAUUUACUGGGCGUAAAGCGCGCGUAGGUGGCCAAUUAAGUCAAAUGUGAAAUCCCCGAGCUGAACUUGGGAAUUGCAUUCGAUACUGGUUGGCUAGAGUAUGGGAGAGGAUGGUAGAAUUCCAGGUGUAGCGGUGAAAUGCGUAGAGAUCUGGAGGAAUACCGAUGGCGAAGGCAGCCAUCUGGCCUAAUACUGACACUGAGGUGCGAAAGCAUGGGGAGCAAACAGGAUUAGAUACCCCAGUAGUCC
rnacentral:rRNA from 1 species